rnacentral:rRNA from 1 species
UAGGGAAUCUUCCGCAAUGGGCGAAAGCCUGACGGAGCAACGCCGCGUGAGUGAAGAAGGAUUUCGGUUCGUAAAGCUCUGUUGUUAGGGAAGAAUGAUUGUGUAGUAACUAUACAUAGUAGAGACGGUACCUAACCAGAAAGCCACGGCUAACUACGUGCCAGCAGCCGCGGUAAUACGUAGGUGGCAAGCGUUGUCCGGAAUUAUUGGGCGUAAAGCGCGCGCAGGUGGUUUAAUAAGUCUGAUGUGAAAGCCCACGGCUCAACCGUGGAGGGUCAUUGGAAACUGUUAAACUUGAGUGCAGGAGAGAAAAGUGGAAUUCCUAGUGUAGCGGUGAAAUGCGUAGAGAUUAGGAGGAACACCAGUGGCGAAGGCGGCUUUUUGGCCUGUAACUGACACUGAGGCGCGAAAGCGUGGGGAGCAAACAGGAUUAGAUACCCUGGUAGUCCACGCCGUAAACGAUGAGUGCUAGGUGUUAGACCCUUUCCGGGGUUUAGUGCCGUAGCUAACGCAUUAAGCACUCCGCCUGGGGAGUACGACCGCAAGGUUG